rnacentral:rRNA from 1 species
AACGAACGCUGGCGGCAGGCCUAACACAUGCAAGUCGAGCGCCCAGCAAUGGGAGCGGCAGACGGGUGAGUAACACGUGGGAACCUUCCCUAUAGUACGGAAUAUACCAGGGAAACUUGGAGCAAUACCGUAUACGCCCGAGAGGGGAAAGAUUUAUCGCUAUAGGAUGGGCCCGCGUUGGAUUAGCUAGUCGGUGAGGUAACGGCUCACCAAGGCAACGAUCCAUAGCUGGUUUGAGAGAAUGACCAGCCACACUGGGACUGAGACACGGCCCAGACUCCUACGGGAGGCAGCAGUGGGGAAUCUUGGACAAUGGGCGCAGGCCUGAUCCAGCCAUGCCGCGUGAGUGAUGAAGGCCUUAGGGUUGUAAAGCUCUUUUGCCGGGGACGAUAAUGACGGUACCCGGAGAAUAAGUCCCGGCUAACUUCGUGCCAGCAGCCGCCGUAA